UUUGGGUUAGCUUUUUUUUUUUUAAUCACAAAAAGUGAUUUUUAAAAAAAUUGUUUAUUAGCUUAUGACUUUUAGGAAAAUCUGAUUUUAAAAAGUGUUUGAAUAAGAAAAUCUGUUUUUUAAAAGUAAAAUGGCUAAAAGCUAAAAAAAAAAAAAAAAAAAAAAAAAAAAAAAAAAAAAAACUAUGGUUUUUCAGCUUUAUUUUUCCUAUAAAAAAAAGUUGUUCUAAAAAACACUUUUUUUAAAUAUACAAACUCUUUUUUUUUAAGCUUAUUAACAUCCUUUGUAAAAUUACCCUGUUUUCUCUCCAAUACCCACGAUCGUCAACUACAAAAGUGUUGCCCCACGCCUCCUCUCUUCUACCCACGAUCUCGUUCUCCAUGUAAGAUAACUGGAAAUCAGAGUUGGGUUGCAAUUUAAUCUUCUUUCCAACAACUGCUUCAAAUCUGUCUACCGUCUCAUCAACCAACCAUGGACCAAAAUUUGGCUGACAACGCUUUUCCGAAGUUGUGCAUUUGCAUAUGAGAUCAUUGAGGUUAAGGUUACUUUCAUCACUCUCCCAGUCUCUUGAGCUUGAAUUUCAGUGCCUUUUGAUACGUCAUUGUUGUAUCAAAAGACGAUUGACAGGUAGCAGUGAGGAUGGUGGUGCGAAUUGCGAAAGGAAAAGCGAAAAUGGAAAGGAUGGUGAUGGCCUUGGAACCUGUAAAGCAAGGGUGGUUAUGUGUCCCUCUGUGUAACCAAAAUUGUUCCUGAAAUGUACAUGGAGUUGCUUAAUGUAUAUAUUUAUAAAUAUUAAUUUGUAAAUAAAUAACUUGAAAUAAUAUAUAAAAGGCCACUUCAGUGGUAUUUUUUAAUUAUAAAA